GAUGAACGCUAGCGGGAGGCUUAACACAUGCAAGUCGAGGGGCAUCACGAGGUAGCAAUACUUUGGUGGCGACCGGCGCACGGGUGAGUAACGCGUAUGCAACCUACCCUGUACAGGGGGAUAGCCCGGAGAAAUUCGGAUUAAUACCCCAUAAUGAUAUUUUAUGGCAUCAUAAGAUAUUUAAAGCUCAGGCGGUACGGGAUGGGCAUGCGUAACAUUAGCGAGUUGGUAGGGUAAUGGCCUACCAAGGCGACGAUGUUUAGGGGUCCUGAGAGGGUGAUCCCCCACACUGGUACUGAGACACGGACCAGACUCCUACGGGAGGCAGCAGUGAGGAAUAUUGGUCAAUGGGCGCGAGCCUGAACCAGCCAUCCCGCGUGAAGGAAGACUGCCCUAUGGGUUGUAAACUUCUUUUCCAGGGGAAUAAAAUCUCGAACGAGUUCGGGACUGAAGGUACCCUGGGAAUAAGCAUCGGCUAACUCCGUGCCAGCAGCCGCGGUAACAC
rnacentral:rRNA from 1 species